GGGGUUGUGGCUCAGUGGUAGAGUGCUCGCCUAGUACAUGUGAGGCACUAGAUUCGAUCCUCAGCACCA
rnacentral:tRNA from 1 species